UACGUAGGGAGCAAGCGUUACCCGGAUUUAUUGGGUGUAAAGGGUGCGUAGACGGAGAAGCAAGUUAGUUGUGAAAUCCCUCGGCUUAACUGAGGAACUGCAACUAAAACUACUUCCCUUGAGUACUGGAGAGGAAAGUGGAAUUCCUAGUGUAGCGGUGAAAUGCGUAGAUAUUAGGAGGAACACCAGUGGCGAAGGCGACUUUCUGGACAGUAACUGACGUUGAGGCACGAAAGUGUGGGGAGCAAACAGG
rnacentral:rRNA from 1 species